ensembl:lncRNA
AACUGAUAGAAUCUGUUUUCUGAAGUCAUUUUUUCUGAAGGGUUGACAGAAAUAGAUAUUGUCAAAGUGGACACUAUUUUGGAGUCAGAAUUUCGGUAGUAUGCAUGUGAUUUUUCCUCUCUUCUCCAUACAUUCUAAGCAUAUAGAACUAUACUGAUAGAAAUUCAGUUUAUCACAGUAUAGGGUGUAGUCACUUGUCUUUUUUUUAACCACUCUGAACAUUUUUAUUUAUUUUUAUUGUGAUAAGAACAUGACAUGAUAUCCACCCUCUUAAAAAAUUUUAAAGUAUAGUGACAAUGCUCUACAAUAGACUUCUAGAACUUAUUUGUAUCGCAAAACUAAAAUUUUAUACUGAUUGAGCAGCAGCUCCCCAUUUCCUCCACUCUCAGUCCCUGGUAACCACUAUUCUGUUCUCUGUUUCUAUGAAUCUGACUCUUUUCAUUACCUCAUGUAAGUGGAAUCGUGUGUAUUUGUCCUUCUGUCUGGGUUCCUUCUCUUAUCGUGUCUUCCAGGCUUAUCUGUGCUGUUGCAUAUGCCAGUAUCAUAUUAUUUUGACUACUGUAGCCUUGUAAUAUGUUUUGAAAUCAAAGAGUGUGAUACCUUCAACUUGGUUCUUCUUGCUCAAAAUUGCUUAGAUUAUUCAGGAUCUCUUGCUGUUCUAUGCAUAUUUUAGUAUUGGGUUGAUUUAUUUUUUUGUUAAAAAGAAAGGCCAUUCGGAUUUUGAUAGAAAUUGCAUUGUAUCUGCAGAUCACUGUGAAUAAUAUGGACAUCUGUGUGUGCAUGCUAAGUUGCUUCAGCAGUGUUCAACUCUUUGUGACCCUAUAUGGCUUAAAGCCUGCCAGGCUCCUCUGUCCAUGGAGAUUCUUCAGGCCUUGUUUACACUGAUAUAUAAUUGACAUACAAUAUAUUAGUUUGGAGUGUACACACAAAGAUUCGACAAACAGUCCAUGCUGAGUGAGCCUGAAUGCUGGGCCUGCCUUGGUUUAAUAUAGAGGAAGGAAUAUCAAUGGCUUAAGGAGAUAAGAACAUUAAAGUGGAUUUGUCAUUCAAGACCCUCUCACCCACAUGUGGGAGGUGAUCCAGAAGAUAUACCUUUCACCAAUGCUGUGAAAAAUAAAUUUCUAAAGGAUUGCUAGGUAUCCUUAAAGAGCUGUAUGUUUCAGCUUAAGUCCAAGAUCAGUAGACGAGAGCAGCUCUGUUAAAGAUCACUGGUUUCCGAACAAGUUCCUAACGUGCUUUUCUCAAACAGGGUUCUCAGGCCUUUUUGAACUUGCAUCUUGCCUGAGUCUCUGUGCAGAUUUUUAUUCCCUCACAUAUAGGCUGCUUUUAAAUGUCCUAACUUCCAGGCUUGUUCUCAGAGCCUUUAGAUGAUCUGGUGUAUGUCUCUUCCUCUACCUCUUGCUCCAGGUAUAUAUAGGUCUGUAGUCCUUCAGCUUUUACCUGCAGUGUCUGCCAUGUUUAUUACUAUUAUCAACAUGCAACAUAAAUUACCCUUUCCCAAGAUAAUGGCCUUUUGGAAGUGAAGCAUAUUCUUUUUAACAAACUUAGGGUGAGUUAUACUCAUUUUCUCUUGAGAGAACAAUGAUGAGGCAGUCAACCUAAAUAGAGUAGUCAGUAAUAAGACAAUCACAGGAAUUAUGUCUAGGGACUGCAAAAUCCUAGUGCAGAAAAUUCACUGAAAGUAGAAAUUAAGAUAAUAAGUAUAUUUGGAGCCUCAGCUAUUAAAAUGAUUUGAAGAAUCAGUUACCAUCAGUUCCUCACAAAGAUAAUAAACUAGUUCUUAUAGAAAUACAUGUUAAGGGGGAG